UACAGAGGUCUCAAGCGUUGUUCGGAUUCAUUGGGCGUAAAGGGUGCGUAGGCGGCGCGGUAAGUCGGGUGUGAAAAUUUCGAGGCUUAACUUCGAAACUGCAUUCGAUACUGCCGUGCUUGAGGACUGGAGAGGAGACUGGAAUUUACGGUGUAGCGGUGAAAUGCGUAGAUAUCUGGAGGAACGACCGGUGGCGAAGGCGGCAUCCUGGACCAACACUGACACUGAGGAGCGAAAGCCAGGGGAGCAAACGGG
rnacentral:rRNA from 1 species